rnacentral:rRNA from 1 species
UGGGGAAUUUUGGACAAUGGGCGCAAGCCUGAUCCAGCCAUGCCGCGUGCAGGAUGAAGGCCUUCGGGUUGUAAACUGCUUUUGUACGGAACGAAAAGACUCCUUCUAAUAAAGGGGGUCCAUGACGGUACCGUAAGAAUAAGCACCGGCUAACUACGUGCCAGCAGCCGCGGUAAUACGUAGGGUGCAAGCGUUAAUCGGAAUUACUGGGCGUAAAGCGUGCGCAGGCGGUUAUGUAAGACAGAUGUGAAAUCCCCGGGCUCAACCUGGGAACUGCAUUUGUGACUGCAUAGCUAGAGUACGGCAGAGGGGGAUGGAAUUCCGCGUGUAGCAGUGAAAUGCGUAGAUAUGCGGAGGAACACCGAUGGCGAAGGCAAUCCCCUGGGCCUGUACUGACGCUCAUGCACGAAAGCGUGGGGAGCAAACA